GUGUGCUGGCACAGUCCAUACCAUCUGAUCCAUUAGCCACGUUCAAAUCUGGUCCCUUGAUUGUUAUUAUCAAGUGUGUGCGCACGUUGACUGCAGUACAUGGUGGAUGUGAUGGGCUUGGCCAUCAGAUCUGCCACCUCAAUUAAUGAGGGAGAUCUGAUGGCCCUUGUUUUUUUGAUUUAGUUUAUUUUCCAUUUUAAUUUUUUGAAAUCCAUUUUCUCAUUUAAUUUAUU
rnacentral:lncRNA from 1 species